rnacentral:rRNA from 1 species
AAGCGGCAACAGCUCAAAUUUGAAAUCUGGCGUCUUUGGCGUCCGAGUUGUAAUUUGCAGAGGGCGCUUUGGCGUUGGCAGCAGUCUAAGUUCCUUGGAACAGGACGUCACAGAGGGUGAGAAUCCCGUACGUGGUUGCUGGCCUUCGCCGUGUAAAGCCCCUUCGACGAGUCGAGUUGUUUGGGAAUGCAGCUCUAAAUGGGAGGUAAAUUUCUUCUAAAGCUAAAUACUGGCCAGAGACCGAUAGCGCACAAGUAGAGUGAUCGAAAGAUGAAAAGCACUUUGGAAAGAGAGUCAAACAGCACGUGAAAUUGUUAAAAGGGAAGCGCUUGCAGCCAGACUUGCCUGUAGUUGCUCAUCCGGACUUUUGUCCGGUGCACUCUUCUAUAGGCAGGCCAGCAUCAGUUUGGGCGGUUGGAUAAAGGUCUCUGUCAUGUACCUCUCUUCGGGGAGAACUUAUAGGGGAGACGACAUGCAACCAGCCUGGACUGAGGUCCG